rnacentral:lncRNA from 1 species
AAGUUUUAUCCCAAUGGGUUUUCUUUGGUGAGGUUUUUAAUGAGGGAAGUCUUCAUGGUUUCCAAGCUUUACUUGUUUCACAUGGUCAAACUUGAGGGGGAGUGUUGAGAUGAGGUAAUAAAGAGAGGAUACAUUGAUAAAGAAAGAGGAUUGAGGCAUACAAUAACUUUGGAGUUUUACCACAGUAACUUUAGUUUUACUGUGGUAA